rnacentral:rRNA from 1 species
GCCUUAACAUGCAAGUCGAACGGCAGCACGGGAGCAAUCCUGGUGGCCAGUGGCCAACGGGUGAUUAAUACAUCCGAACGUGUCCUGUAGUGGGGGAUAGCCCGGCGAAAGCCGGAUUAAUACCGCAUACGCUCUACGGAGGAAAGGGGGGGAUC